GGUUUCUUGUAUUUAUUUAAGAAAUUUGACCUGCCCACUGAAUAAAAUUUUUAAAGGGCCGCAGUAUAUUGACUGUGCAAAGGUAGCAUAAUCAUUAGUCUUUUAAUUGAAGGCUGGUAUGAAUGGUUGGAUGAGGUAAAUUCUGUUUUAUGUUAAUUUGAAUUGAAUUUAGAUUUUGAGUAAAAAGACUUAAAUGAUGUUAAGGGACGAGAAGACCCUAUAGAGUUUAAUAAAUGUAUUAAUUAAUUGAGUUAUAAGUGUAAAUUUUGAUUAUUAUGAAAUUUAUUUAAUUGGGGUGAUUAGAAGAUAAAUAUAACUCUUCUUUAUAUUUAAUAAUAUUAUUAGUUAUGUGAUCCAUAUUUGAUGAUUAAAAGAUUAAAUUACCUUAGGGAUAACAGCAUAAUUCUUUUUGAGAGUUCAUAUCGAAAAGAGGGAUUGUGACCUCGAUGUUGGAUUAAGAUUAGUUUUGGGUGCAGAUGUUCAAUAACUAGGUCUGUUCGACCUUAAAAAUCUUACA
rnacentral:rRNA from 1 species